ACAUCUGAAGAACGUGUGUGUCGUGUCUAUUCUCGCCACAGGGAGAAUCAGCACUUCCCUAGCCUGUCAGUUAGGGAGGCAACAAUUUUGGGGGCUCGUCCGGGAUCAUCGCCUCGUCAACAGGUGUUGAUCAUCACAGAAUUGCGGGAUUUGCCAUUCCUCGAGCCAGUAUUCAGAGAUGACAACGCUACGAGAACUGCGAUGGGAAAUUCAACAACAACUGCAUCAGCUGACCAGCGCCUCCAGUACAGACAUCCUGUAUAGACUUACACAAUCAUGCAGCGAUGAGGUGGAAGGAGAGAUGCCAAGCAGGGACGCGACGGCAGUGGAAUUCUUUGAUUUUCUUCAGGACUUUUUGAGAAGUGAAGGACUGAAGGGUCUCGAGGACCAAGGGAUGGCUGCCCUGCUCGCCUUUCGUGACCUCAUCAAUGAUCUGCAAGGUGGUCGGGAGACUGUCCGGGGAGAAGCCCAUGCACCUGAGAAGGCAACUGCUGAGGUGGUUGUAGAGACUGAGCCGGUAGCAUCAGUAAAGACAAAGACAAUACCAACACCAGCAGCUGCUGAGAAGUGACUUUAACCAUGAGAAUUAUGGGAUGUUACCUGUGGACAGAUGAAGGGUUUCCAUGUUUAAAAUGCCAAGGAAUAUCCAUAGACCGAUCACUCUUCAUGGAGACACAGCUGGGUUCUGUCAUGGCACCCUUCAGAAGUCUGCAAAUUCUCAAGGCACCCCCAUAUAAAAUACACGCAGUCACGCGGACCAUACGCUGACCCCGGCAGUGACGUUGUCACAUGGGAAAGGGGGCCGUGAGACAAAUUUUGAUGAUGCAUGAGGCGGCGAUGAUCUGCAUUAGUGUGACUAUCGUUUUUUGGAAUUUUAAUUCAUUUUAUUUAUUUCAAUGUUAGAAUAUAUAAUUUUUUGACGGCACCCCUAACGAAGCCAGAUGGCACCCCGGUUGAGAAAGGCUGCUUUAUAUACACCAUUUACACUGGUUAUUAUUAAUUAUUACUGGUUAUUUUAAUUAUGUUGUUAGCAAUUACUCUGAAUUAGUGUCACAUCCAGAUGCACUUUCUGCCUUAUCCUGUAUGUGACGCUGUGAAACACUGAACUGUGCAGUUAUUGAUAUUAAUUACUCUAAAAUGUUUAGUGAAAGUAUUGUAGCAGCAUUCGGACCUAAUUAAAGUAUCACAAAGUGAUAAAUAUCAAAAUGCUGAUGAUGAUCUGGGCUGGAUAAAGGAAUGUGUAACACAGUCUUUCUCUCUGCAAUGACUUUAACUAUGAGAAUUAUGGGAUGUUACCUGUGGACAGAUGAGGGGUUUCCAUGUUUAAAAUGCCAAGGAAUAUCCAUAGACCGAUCACUCUUCAUGGAGACACAGCUGGGUUCUGGUGGCAGCAACAGAGGUCGUAGCCCACAGAGCACAGAGUUAUAGAGUGGAAACCUAACUGCCUCAAAGCACACUGACUGAACAGUCCAGAAAGUGAAGGUAAUCAGAAGGAAGUGUUAUGGCACAUGGGGUCAAACUCCAGGCCCACAGCCUCGUUUCAUUCAGCCCGUGUGAAUGUGGAAACAAUAAAACUGAAACAGCCUGUAGAACACCACUGCUUAAAGGAGAAAUGAAGGCAAAUAUAUCAUCAAAAUUCUAUUUCUCAUUUUUAUUAAAUACAUAUUACAUAUUACUGUCAAAUCUGGUGUCCCACAGGGCUCCGUACUUGGGCCCUUGUUGUUCACAAUAUACAUUAACAAUCUCAGUAAAGAGCUUAUGAAUGUAAAUAUGCAUCUGUAUGCAGAGGAUACUAUAAUUUACCGUUCUGCUGCAUCACCGGCUGAGACCAUUUUAAAGCUGCAAGAAGCAUUUACUGUGGUACAGUGCAAUCGAAAUUCCUUGAAAUUAAUUCUUAAUGAUAAGAAAAUAAAGUUCAUGUUCUUUUCUAGAACCCAUAAGCUGAGAUCCUCCCUGCCUCAACUGGAAAAGAUUGGUUGAAUCUACUUUUCUGCCAGUCUCGGAUUAUGGGGACAUAUUUUAUAGACAUACCUCUAAAGCUCUGCUACAGUCCUUAGACUCUGUGUAUCAUUCUGUGUUAAGAUUUAUCACACAAGCAAGUUACUCCACCCAUCAUUGUGCCUUGUAUGAAAUGGUUGGUUGGUCCUCACUCUUAAUGAGAAGACAUAAACAUUGGUGAAUUUUUGCGUACAAAGCAAUUAUUGGCCAACGUCCUUCUGAUAUAUCUGUUCUUUUAACACCUAGUACAUCUCAGUACAAUUUACGGUCAAGUAGAUAUAUCUUGUAUGAUGUGCAGGCAAAAUCUGAGUUUGGUAAGACUGCCUUUGCUUGUAGUGCUCCAACAGCAUGGAAUGAGCUACAGAGACAACUAAAACUUGAGGUUUUUAUUUCACUUGUUGAUUUCAAAGUUUGUCUUAACCGAGUGUAUCAGUCAGUCUGUUCUUGUUUUUAAAUUUUCUGUCUGCUUUGUUUGUCUGUUCUUAAUUUUUUUUAUUGUUUUGUUCUGUGAGUGUGUGUGAUGAUUGUUAUUCUGUUCUUAAUUCUGUUUUUGUGUGCUGCCUUCUUGGCCAGGGCUCACUUGUAAAAGAGAUUUUAAUCUCAACAUGAUUUUUUAUCCCUGGUAAACUAAAGGUUUAAUAAUAAUAAUAAUAAUAAUAAUAAUAAUAAAAUAUAGGAAUGCAUUUCUGAUGGCUAUUUUGUCGCUGCUAUAGCACGUUACAAGUGUUUGAAAUAUGCUCUGUAAUAUAUCAGUCCAUAUGUCAAAGCAAUGGCCAUAAACGAGAUUCACGGAGACCUGUGUGAGACAUUGUAGGAUGGAAGUAAAACAUACAGCGCAAAUCAAAGUGACCAACCCUAUGUCUGAAAUUGCUCACUCAUUCACUACUCCCUAUAGAGGGAAUUACGACUACAAAAUGGCAUCCCCACUAUAUAGUGCCCUAUAUAGGGAGUAGAGAGUGAUUUGGGACACAGGGCAACAUCUGCCAACGUUAUCAAGAGAUGCGCGCGCCCUCUGUCAAAUGCUGACAUAAUCAAGCCGGAAGUUUUGUUUGUUUUGAUAGCAAUCAGGAAAGUUUGAAAAAAGUA